rnacentral:rRNA from 1 species
CAAUAGCGUAUAUUAAAGUUGUUGCAGUUAAAAAGCUCGUAGUUGGAUUUCGGGGCAGCCUGGCUGGUCCGCCGCAAGGCGAGUACUGGUCAGCCGCCCUUCCUCUCGAAAGCCCCGACUGCUCUUUAUUGCAGUGGUCGGGUAGUUCGGGACGUUUACUUUGAAAAAAUUAGAGUGUUCGAGGCAGGCCUACGCCUGAAUACAUUAGCAUGGAAUAAUGGAAGAGGACCUCGGUCCUAUUUUGUUGGUUUCCAGGACCGAAGUAAUGAUUAAGAGGGACAGUUGGGGGCAUUCGUAUUUAAUUGUCAGAGGUGAAAUUCUCGGAUUUAUGAAGGACGAACAACUGCGAAAGCAUUUGCCAAGGAUGUUUUCAUUAA